rnacentral:rRNA from 1 species
AUUGAACGCUCGCGGGAUGCUUUACACAUGCAAGUCGAACGGCAGCGCGGACUUCGGUCUGGCGGCGAGUGGCGAACGGGUGAGUAAUGUAUCGGAACGUGCCCAGUAGCGGGGGAUAACUACUCGAAAGCGUAGCUAAUACCGCAUACGCCCUACGGGGGAAAGCAGGGGAUCGUAAGACCUUGCACCAUUGGAGCGGCCGAUAUCGGAUUAGCUAGUUGGUGAGGUAACGGCUCACCAAGGCGACGAUCCGUAGCUGGUUUGAGAGGACGACCAGCCACACUGGGACUGAGACACGGCCCAGACUCCUACGGGAGGCAGCAGUGGGGAAUUUUGGACAAUGGGGGCAACCCUGAUCCAGCCAUCCCGCGUGUGGGAUGAAGGCCUUCGGGUUGUAAAGCACUUUUGGCAGGAAAGAAACGUCGCGGGCUAAUACCCCGUGGAACUGACGGUACCUGCAGAAUAAGCACCGGCUAACUACGUG